rnacentral:rRNA from 1 species
AUUGAACGCUGGCGGCAUGCCUUACACAUGCAACUCGAACGGUAACGGGCCUUCGGGUGCCGACGAGUGGCGCACGGGUGAGUAAUACAUCGGAACGUGCCCGAUCGUGGGGGAUAACGAGGCGAAAGCUUUGCUAAUACCGCAUACGAUCUACGGAUGAAAGCAGGGGACCGCAAGGCCUUGCGCGGACGGAGCGGCCGAUGGCAGAUUAGGUAGUUGGUGGGAUAAAAGCUUACCAAGCCGACGAUCUGUAGCUGGUCUGAGAGGAUGAUCAGCCACACUGGGACUGAGACACGGCCCAGACUCCUACGGGAGGCAGCAGUGGGGAAUUUUGGACAAAGGGCGCAAGCCUGAUCCAGCCAUGCCGCGUGCAGGAUGAAGGCCUUCGGGUUGUAAACUGAUUUUGUACGGAACGAAAAGCCUUCUUUUAAUACAGGAGGGUCAUGACGGUACCGUAAGAAUAAGCACCGGCUAACUACGUG